UACGGGGGGGGCAAGCGUUGUUCGGAAUUACUGGGCGUAAAGGGCUCGUAGGCGGCCAACUAAGUCAGACGUGAAAUCCCUCGGCUUAACCGGGGAACUGCGUCUGAUACUGGAUGGCUUGAGAUUGGGAGAGGGAUGCGGAAUUCCAGGUGUAGCGGUGAAAUGCGUAGAUAUCGGGAGGAACACCUGUGGCGAAAGCGGCUCACUGGACCACAACUGACGCUGAUGCGCGAAAGCUAGGGGAGCAAACAGG
rnacentral:rRNA from 1 species